rnacentral:rRNA from 1 species
AUUAGAGUUUGAUCCUGGCUCAGAUUGAACGCUGGCGGCAGGCCUAACACAUGCAAGUCGAGCGGUAGCACAGAGAGCUUGCUCUCGGGUGACGAGCGGCGGACGGGUGAGUAAUGUCUGGGAAACUGCCUGAUGGAGGGGGAUAACUACUGGAAACGGUAGCUAAUACCGCAUAACGUCGCAAGACCAAAGAGGGGGACCUUCGGGCCUCUUGCCAUCAGAUGUGCCCAGAUGGGAUUAGCUAGUAGGUGGGGUAACGGCUCACCUAGGCGACGAUCCCUAGCUGGUCUGAGAGGAUGACCAGCCACACUGGAACUGAGACACGGUCCAGACUCCUACGGGAGGCAGCAGUGGGGAAUAUUGCACAAUGGGCGCAAGCCUGAUGCAGCCAUGCCGCGUGUAUGAAGAAGGCCUUCGGGUUGUAAAGUACUUUCAGCGGGGAGGAAGGUGUUGAGGUUAAUAACCUCAGCAAUUGACGUUACCCGCAGAAGAAGCACCGGCUAACUCCGUGCCAGCAGCCGCGGUAAUACGGAGGGUGCAAGCGUUAAUCGGAAUUACUGGGCGUAAAGCGCACGCAGGCGGUCUGUCAAGUCGGAUGUGAAAUCCCCGGGCUCAACCUGGGAACUGCAUUCGAAACUGGCAGGCUAGAGUCUUGUAGAGGGGGGUAGAACUCCAGGUGUAGCGGUGAAAUGCGUAGAGAUCUGGAGGAAUACCGGUGGCGAAGGCGGACCCCUGGACAAAGACUGACGCUCAGGUGCGAAAGCGUGGGGAGCAAACAGGAUUAGAUACCCUGGUAGUCCACGCCGUAAACGAUGUCGACUUGGAGGUUGUGCCCUUGAGGCGUGGCUUCCGGAGCUAACGCGUUAAGUCGACCGCCUGGGGAGUACGGCCGCAAGGUUAAAACUCAAAUGAAUUGACGGGGGCCCGCACAAGCGGUGGAGCAUGUGGUUUAAUUCGAUGCAACGCGAAGAACCUUACCUACUCUUGACAUCCAGAGAACUUUCCAGAGAUGGAUUGGUGCCUUCGGGAACUCUGAGACAGGUGCUGCAUGGCUGUCGUCAGCUCGUGUUGUGAAAUGUUGGGUUAAGUCCCGCAACGAGCGCAACCCUUAUCCUUUGUUGCCAGCGGUCCGGCCGGGAACUCAAAGGAGACUGCCAGUGAUAAACUGGAGGAAGGUGGGGAUGACGUCAAGUCAUCAUGGCCCUUACGAGUAGGGCUACACACGUGCUACAAUGGCGCAUACAAAGAGAAGCGACCUCGCGAGAGCAAGCGGACCUCAUAAAGUGCGUCGUAGUCCGGAUUGGAGUCUGCAACUCGACUCCAUGAAGUCGGAAUCGCUAGUAAUCGUAGAUCAGAAUGCUACGGUGAAUACGUUCCCGGGCCUUGUACACACCGCCCGUCACACCAUGGGAGUGGGUUGCAAAAGAAGUAGGUAGCUUAACCUUCGGGAGGGCGCUUACCACUUUGUGAUUCAUGACUGGGGUGAAGUCGUAACAAGGUAGCCGUAGAAU